ACCUACGGGCGGCAGCAGUGGGGAAUAUUGCACAAUGGGGGAAACCCUGAUGCAGCGACGCCGCGUGAGUGAAGAAGUAUUUCGGUACGUAAAGCUCUAUCAGCAGGGAAGAAAAUGACGGUACCUGACUAAGAAGCCCCGGCUAACUACGUGCCAGCAGCCGCGGUAAUACGUAGGGGGCAAGCGGUAUCCGGAUUUACUGGGUGUAAAGGGAGCGUAGACGGCAGCGCAAGUCUGAAGGGAAAUCCCAUGGCUUAACCGUGGAACUGCUUUGGAAACUGUGCAGCUGGAGUGCAGGAGAGGUAAGCGGAAUUCCUAGUGUAGCGGUGAAAUGCGUAGAUAUUAGGAGGAACACCAGUGGCGAAGGCGGCUUACUGGACUGUAACUGACGUUGAGGCUCGAAAGCGUGGGGAGCAAACAGGAUUAGAUACCCGAGUAGUC
rnacentral:rRNA from 2 species